UUUUUGUCUCUAGAUGUUAAAUGGUAUUUAUCUAAUUUUUCUUUUGAGUUUUUCCUUCCUUUCCAAAUAGGUAUUUCCAAAAUGGGGGACAACUAAGUAAUUUUUCCCAAGGAGGAAGAGGCCUUGACCAUACUCUGCUUUUUUUAUGCAUACUGUUACUGUCUCUGAGUUCAUAAACUUGGAUAGAACAUUUGCAGACAGGAUCUUACGAAGUGUGAAAAUCUCAGUUUACAUUUGUCAACAUAAGCCAUGCCCCACAGCAUCCUCUGGCCCAGUCUGGCCUUCUCGUGAUUCAUGGAAACAUGGAGCAAUGAGUCCAGGAAAAAGGGUUAGAGGUUGUCUUUGAUGUGCCUUCAUUGUCCUUCCUGGAUUCUCCCUCGAGCCUGGAAUGGCGGAACACACUGCAUCAUAUAACUGCUACCCAGCGAAGGUGGAAUUGCUCCUUGCACUUUCAAGGAGGGAGGGACGUCUGACUUUGUAAUCCUCAGCCCAAAGC
rnacentral:lncRNA from 1 species